rnacentral:rRNA from 1 species
UGGGGAAUAUUGGACAAUGGGCGAAAGCCUGAUCCAGCCAUGCCGCGUGUGUGAAGAAGGUCUUCGGAUUGUAAAGCACUUUAAGUUGGGAGGAAGGGCAGUAAGCGAAUACCUUGCUGUUUUGACGUUACCGACAGAAUAAGCACCGGCUAACUCUGUGCCAGCAGCCGCGGUAAUACAGAGGGUGCAAGCGUUAAUCGGAAUUACUGGGCGUAAAGCGCGCGUAGGUGGUUCGUUAAGUUGAAUGUGAAAGCCCCGGGCUCAACCUGGGAACUGCAUCCAAAACUGGCGAGCUAGAGUAGGGCAGAGGGUGGUGGAAUUGCCUGUGUAGCGGUGAAAUGCGUAGAUAUAGGAAGGAACACCAGUGGCGAAGGCGAGCACCUGGGCUCAUACUGACACUGAGGUGCGAAAGCGUGGGGAGCAAACAGG